rnacentral:rRNA from 1 species
ACGUGUCGCGAUGGAUGACUUGGCUUCCUAUUUCGUUGAAGAAGCAGUAAAGUGCGAUAAGUGGUAUCAAUUGCAUCAUCAUUCAAUUACCGAAUCCAUGAACGCAAACGGCGCAUGGGAGAAGCUCUAUUGUGUCAUCCCCGUGCAUGCCAUAUUCUCAGUGUCGAA